GCGCUGGGGGUGCCCCGACGGGUGUGGGAAGGGUGAAAUUCGCUUAAAAUCCUAAUUUAGCCGGCGCUGAGAUCGCGCCAGGUGAGUUUUGGAGAAGGAAUUGCCCGAAAUUAAGCAAACAAACAAACAAACAGCAUCCAUCGCUCGUACCGCGGGAGGAAAGGGCUAAUAAAAGUUGAUUUUCGCCUUCUGCAUGCGGGGGGAUUUUGGGGAAAGUGGGUCCUUUUGAAGAGAGAAGCCCAUGGGAUGCACGGGGUCCGACACCGUGGAGUAUAUAGGGGAACCUGCGGGGAUGCAAAACCCCUCUCGUCCGGAACAAACACCAGAAGCACACGGAGAGACGGAAAAAUACGGCCGAUGGUGCAGGAGAAUUUACAGAGUCUUUGUCAGUCCCUUUGGAGAUGUAAAUCCCCGGGUCUUAAAUAUGAUUGUUAUUCAAUUCCGUUUUCUGCUGAUAAAAAUGGGCAAAAAUCCCCUUCCCAGGUACAAGUGCGAAGCCCCCGGGCUGCUCUCACCGGGUGCCUUGAUGUGACACCGGGCUUUGGGGCAUAGAAGACCGUUUGGAGACAGUCCCCUCGUUUUAUUUCUUCGAUAAAAUAGUUUAAAAACCACACCUCCGCAGUGUGUUGGAGAAGGGUCGCGCUGGAAAAUGCUCAUUUGCAGUUUGACCGGCCAGCGGGCAUCCAAAGCAAGAAGUUUGUCGGCAACUCAUAGCUAGAAAGGGCAUCUGAAGGACAAGAAGCAGGUAGAUCUUUAAACACGACGUUCCUCUCAGAA